UUGUCAGGGUCUGUGUUUGUUCCCCUUGUUUGUGCCUUAGUUCAUUUCCUUUAGUUAUUAUUUACUGGUCUCCGAGCCGCUAUUCCUUGGACAUCCACCAGAGGUYACCUAUGUGCCACCCCUGGGAAGCGGCAGAGUUCAACCCGGGCACACACCUGCAGCUCGUUGAGAAGGCUCCUGCCCUGGAUAUAAGCAGCAGCGCCACUCCGUCUCAUCGCCUGAGUGUUUGCUCACCUCGAUAUCCAGCUGUCUUCCCGUUGUUCCCCGAGACCAGUUACCCCGAGUCUGUGUGAGUCUGUCUCCCCGUUGUGGAUCACCUGCCUCCUGUGUCUUCCCCCGACGCUACCGGUGUUGCCGGUUUUGACGCCACCCCUCGUGUGCUCGUCUUCUCCCUGUCGUGGAUCCUUCUCCGGCGAAAUCCCCUUCGGAGUGUUCCGGGUCAGGAGACCCACGUCCGAACCUCACCGGA